UAUACCGUGAAACUGCGAAUGGCUCAUUAAAUCAGUUAUCGUUUAUUUGAUAGUACCUUACUACUUGGAUAACCGUGGUAAUUCUAGAGCUAAUACAUGCUGAAAACCCCAACUUCGGGAGGGGUGUAUUUAUUAGAUAAAAAACCAACGCCCUUCGGGGCUUCUUGGUGAUUCAUGAUAACUUUACGGAUCGCAUGGCCUUGCGCCGGCGACGGUUCAUUCAAAUUUCUGCCCUAUCAACUUUCGAUGGUAAGGUAUUGGCUUACCAUGGUUUCAACGGGUAACGGGGAAUUAGGGUUCGAUUCCGGAGAGGGAGCCUGAGAAACGGCUACCACAUCCAAGGAAGGCAGCAGGCGCGCAAAUUACCCAAUCCCGACACGGGGAGGUAGUGACAAUAAAUACUGAUACAGGGCUCUUUUGGGUCUUGUAAUUGGAAUGAGUACAAUUUAAACCUCUUAACGAGGAACAAUUGGAGGGCAAGUCUGGUGCCAGCAGCCGCGGUAAUUCCAGCUCCAAUAGCGUAUAUUAAAGUUGUUGCAGUUAAAAAGCUCGUAGUUGAACCUUGGGUCUGGCUGGCAGGUCCGCCUCACCGCGUGUACUUGUCCGGCCGGGCCUUCCUUCUGGAGAACCUCAUGCCCUUCACUGGGCGUGUUGGGGACCAGGACUUUUACUUUGAAAAAAUUAGAGUGUUCAAAGCAGGCCUUUGCUCGAAUACGUUAGCAUGGAAUAAUAGAAUAGGACGUGCGGUCCUAUUUUGUUGGUUUCUAGGACCGCCGUAAUGAUUAAUAGGGACAGUCGGGGGCAUCAGUAUUCAAUUGUCAGAGGUGAAAUUCUUGGAUUUAUUGAAGACUAACUACUGCGAAAGCAUUUGCCAAGGAUGUUUUCAUUAAUCAGUGAACGAAAGUUAGGGGAUCGAAGACGAUCAGAUACCGUCGUAGUCUUAACCGUAAACUAUGCCGACUAGGGAUCGGGCGAUGUUCUUUUUCUGACUCGCUCGGCACCUUACGAGAAAUCAAAGUU
rnacentral:rRNA from 1 species